rfam:Ictidomys tridecemlineatus contig054009, whole genome shotgun sequence.
GGGGAUGUAGCUCAGUGGUAGAACACAUAGCUGAUGUGUAUGACAUCCUGGGUUUAAUCCCCAGCACCGCCA